rnacentral:rRNA from 2 species
AGCGGCGGACGGGUGAGUAACACGUGGGUAACCUGCCUGUAAGACUGGGAUAACUCCGGGAAACCGGGGCUAAUACCGGAUGGUUGUUUGAACCGCAUGGUUCAGACAUAAAAGGUGGCUUCGGCUACCACUUACAGAUGGACCCGCGGCGCAUUAGCUAGUUGGUGAGGUAACGGCUCACCAAGGCGACGAUGCGUAGCCGACCUGAGAGGGUGAUCGGCCACACUGGGACUGAGACACGGCCCAGACUCCUACGGGAGGCAGCAGUAGGGAAUCUUCCGCAAUGGACGAAAGUCUGACGGAGCAACGCCGCGUGAGUGAUGAAGGUUUUCGGAUCGUAAAGCUCUGUUGUUAGGGAAGAACAAGUGCCGUUCAAAUAGGGCGGCACCUUGACGGUACCUAACCAGAAAGCCACGGCUAACUACGUGCCAGCAGCCGCGGUAAUACGUAGGUGGCAAGCGUUGUCCGGAAUUAUUGGGCGUAAAGGGCUCGCAGGCGGUUUCUUAAGUCUGAUGUGAAAGCCCCCGGCUCAACCGGGGAGGGUCAUUGGAAACUGGGGAACUUGAGUGCAGAA